CCAGCAGCCGCGGUAAUUCCAGCUCCAAUAGCGUAUAUUUAAGUUGCUGCAGUUAAAAAGCUCGUAGUUGGAUUUCGGGUGGGGCCUGCCGGUCCGCCGUUUCGGUGUGCACUGGCCGGGCCCACCUUGCUGCCGGGGACGUGUUCCUGGGCUUCACUGUCCGGGACACGGAGUCGGCGAGGUUACUUUGAGUAAAUUAGAGUGUUCAAAGCAGGCCUACGCUCUGAAUACAUUAGCAUGGAAUAACACGAUAGGACUCUGGCCUAUCUUGUUGGUCUGUAGGACCGGAGUAAUGAUUAAGAGGGACAGUCGGGGGCAUUCGUAUUUCAUUGUCAGAGGUGAAAUUCUUGGAUUUAUGAAAGACGAACUACUGCGAAAGCAUUUGCCAAGGAUGUUUUCA
rnacentral:rRNA from 1 species